GUCUGAUUAGCUUGUUGGCGGGGUAACGGCCCACCAAGGCAACGAUCAGUAGGGGUUCUGAGAGGAAGGUCCCCCACAUUGGAACUGAGACACGGUCCAAACUCCUACGGGAGGCAGCAGUGAGGAAUAUUGGUCAAUGGACGAGAGUCUGAACCAGCCAAGUAGCGUGCAGGAAGACGGCCCUAUGGGUUGUAAACUGCUUUUAUAAGGGAAUAAAGUUAGUCUCGUGAGACUUUUUGCAUGUACCUUAUGAAUAAGGACCGGCUAAUUCCGUGCCAGCAGCCGCGGUAAUACGGAAGGUCCGGGCGUUAUCCGGAUUUAUUGGGUUUAAAGGGAGCGUAGGCCGGAGAUUAAGCGUGUUGUGAAAUGUAGACGCUCAACGUCUGCACUGCAGCGCGAACUGGUUUCCUUGAGUACGCACAAAGUGGGCGGAAUUCGUGGUGUAGCGGUGAAAUGCUUAGAUAUCACGAAGAACUCCGAUUGCGAAGGCAGCUCACUGGAGCGCAACUGACGCUGAAGCUCGAAAGUGCGGGUAUCGAACAGGAUUAGAUACCCUGGUAGUCCGCACGGUAAACGAUGGAUGCCCGCUGUUGGUCUGAAUAGGUCAGCGGCCAAGCGAAAGCAUUAAGCAUCCCACCUGGGGAGUA
rnacentral:rRNA from 1 species